GCGAUAUUAUGCACUACUGAUGGGUAGGACCCGAAAACGUAGGUAGCGAAUAUGCUCUCCUGCUCAAAUCCUAUUCCGUAAUGUCCUUGCCGUGCAAGGGCACAACAUGUACCACCUUAAUUAUUGGGUACACGAGCUGGACUCAACCUCUCGGACGGAUGGUGGCGCAUAGCGAAACAGAUGAGG
rnacentral:ribozyme from 1 species